CGCGCAGGCGGCCAGGUCAGUCGAAUGUGAAAGCCCCCGGCUCAACUGGGGAAGGUCGUUCGAUACUGCCUGGCUUGAAGAUAGGAGAGGGAAGUGGAAUUUCAGGUGUAGUGGUGAAAUGCGUAGAUAUCUGAAGGAACACCAGUGGCGAAGGCGACUUUCUGGCCUAUUCUUGACGCUGAGGCGCGAAAGCUAGGGGAGCGAACG
rnacentral:rRNA from 1 species